CUACGCCAAUAAGCGCGGCCAUUUGCUCCAUAAGCUCUCCGUCGCCACUCGCUCCGGAUCGCUCGGGCUCCGCAUUCGGCUCCUCUGGCAUCGACCUUGUCUGGGGUCGUCCACGAGGUGCCAUUGCUUCCUGAAAAGAAGCAACUCGCAUUAACUACAUGACCAACAUUACUUGACCAUACCCAAUCCGGCGAAAGCAACUUAUGCAUUCGUUCUUGCCCCAAACAUUAUGUCGUCGGCCGCCCGACACAAAACAAGGAGUAGGGAACAAAUGAAAAUUAAACUUAGCCUCUAAUCACAUUAGAGACUUCCCAACUUAACCCAAUCACAUGCUUUCGCUAACUUUAAUUCCACGUCACUCACGUUUCCUAGAUCCUUAAGAUCUUCCAAUCCUAAGGGUCUCUAGGUCCAUUCCUAUUCUUUCACUCUAGGCUCUGAUACUACGAUAUCUGUCACGCCCCGCGACCGAUACCAAUUUGGGCCGGCCCGAGCACGUCAAACAGACGCCGAACGGACAGAGUUUCCCCUGUCCGCCCAAG
rnacentral:lncRNA from 1 species